GAUUGUGCGAGUGCCCAAUGAGCUGGCGAAACAGUUUAUUCACAGACUUUGUCCAAGAUUGGAUUCCACGGAAGUAAAAAUCGAGCAUUGUACUUAGAAAUAACACCACCUUCUUCAAAAAAAUGUUGGAAUAACCCUUUAAUAUUUGUAAAUUCUUGACAAAAUGCACUUUAGUGAAUAAUCAGUCCUGUUAGUCUGACC